rnacentral:lncRNA from 1 species
UGGUUUAUUGACUAUUAGAGAUAAAUGUUGCAGCCGGGCUUGGUGGCACACAUCUUUAAUCCCAGCACUCAAGAGGCAGAGGCAGCAGAUCUCUGAGUUUGAGACCAGCCUGGUCUACAGAGUGAGUUCCAGGACAACUUAAGCUGUUACACAGAGAAUAUUGCUAGCUGAUUUUGGACUCUGGCUGUGACAGCACAAGGCUGUGACUGAAGUAAUUAUCUCCUCUGAGAGGCAGACUUUUUGGUGUAUUCUUUCUUGAGCUGCUCAAGAAUAAAUGACGAGAGGGCUGGAGAAACGGCUUGGUAGUUAACAGUACUUCCUGCUCUUCAGAGGACCCAGGCCAGGCGGCCCACAGCUCCUGAACCUCCAGUUCCUUAGUAAGCAGCACCCACUCUGGCCUCCAUAGUCACAGCAUGGUGUGUGAAAAGGGCAAGGGCUGCUGGGCUACCUCAGCAAGUAGAGACACCAGACCUGAGGGCUUGCGUUCAAUCCCCACCACAGUCCACACACACUAAGAUUACAUGGAACAGGG